CAAUGUUGCUCUUGCAGAAGUGUCCGUGACCUCUUUGGGGGUCCGGGUCCGAUCGGCUGCUUCUCUGCCGUCGGAUUCUGCGCGUUGGACCGAAGGAGAAGGAGCCGCUCCUAGAAAAACAGUGACUUCAGUCCUCUGUCAGAUCGGCCCACAAGAACCAACGUAAAAGCAGCACAGCACAAAGCAACGUGACGCAGCAGAUGCAUGCUGGGAGCUCCGCUCGUCGGCCGUUUGGUCCCUGGAUCCUCGGCGGCUUGAUGACUCGUCGUCGCCCUUAGCGCCCCGAUAUCGUUCCGCCUGUUUCCUCCCACACAGAACAUGGGUUGUCGGCCUCGGCCCGCCGGCCCGCCCGUGUUGAUGAAGCGCAGACGUCUUCCGGAGAUAGCAGCUCCCUGAAUGUGCUCUUUGUGGAGGGCGAGGAGUCCACCGAGGAGUCUGCUGGACAGGACCGAGACCGUGAAGAGCUCUAACACGAGGACCUGUUAAAUCCAGAGUGCUGCCGGAGGCGCCUUUGCGACGCGACGACGAGCUCCAAACGCGAAGCCAGCUGCCGGUCACGGAGAAUGCCACUGCGGGCAGUGUAAAUGCCACGCCGGCUACGUCGGCGACAACUGCAACUGCUCCACCGAGACGGCGCCGUGCGUCGCGGACGACGGGCAGAUG
ensembl:lncRNA